rnacentral:rRNA from 1 species
AGGUCUUCGGAUGCUGACGAGUGGCGAACGGGUGAGUAAUACAUCGGAACGUGCCCAGUAAUGGGGGAUAGCUCGGCGAAAGCCGGAUUAAUACCGCAUACGCCCUGAGGGGGAAAGUGGGGGACCGCAAGGCCUCACGUUAUUGGAGCGGCCGAUGGCUGAUUAGCUAGUUGGUAGGGUAAAGGCCUACCAAGGCGACGAUCAGUAGCUGGUCUGAGAGGACGAUCAGCCACACUGGGACUGAGACACGGCCCAGACUCCUACGGGAGGCAGCAGUGGGGAAUUUUGGACAAUGGGGGAAACCCUGACCCAGCAAUGCCGCGUGUGCGAAGAAGGCCUUCGGGUUGUAAAGCACUUUUGUCAGGGAAGAAAUCCUUUGGGCUAAUACCCUAGGGGGAUGACGGUACCUGAAGAAUAAGCACCGGCUAACUACGUGCCAGCAGCCGCGGUAAUACGUAGGGUGCAAGCGUUAAUCGGAAUUACUGGGCGUAAAGCGUGCGCAGGCGGUUGUGUAAGACAGGUGUGAAAUCCCCGGGCUUAACCUGGGAAUUGCAUUUGUGACUGCACGACUAGAGUGUGUCAGAGGGGGGUGGAAUUCCACGUGUAGCAGUGAAAUGCGUAGAUAUGUGGAGGAACACCAAUGGCGAAGGCAGCCCCCUGGGAUAACACUGACGCUCAUGCACGAAAGCGUGGGGAGCAAACAGGAUUAG